GAUUAAGUUAUUAAGGGCGCACGGUGGAUGCCUUGGCACUAGAAGCCGACGAAGGACGUUACUAACGACGAUAUGCUUUGGGUAGCUGUAAGUAAGCG
rnacentral:rRNA from 1 species